rnacentral:rRNA from 1 species
CCGCUGAACUUAAGCAUAUCAAUAAGCGGAGGAAAAGAAACUAACAAGGAUUCCCCUAGUAACGGCGAGUGAAGCGGGAAGAGCUCAAGCUUAAAAUCUCCGUGCAAGUUUUGCGCGGCGAAUUGUAGUCUAUAGAGGCGUGGUCAGCGUGGGCGCUUGGGGCAAGUUCCUUGGAAGAGGACAGCAUGGAGGGUGAUACUCCCGUUCAUCCCUGAGUUGCUCGUGCGUACGACCCGUUUUCUUUGAGUCGCGUUGUUUGGGAAUGCAGCGCAAAGUAGGUGGUAAAUUCCAUCUAAAGCUAAAUAUUGGUGCGAGACCGAUAGCGAACAAGUACCGUGAGGGAAAGAUGAAAAGAACUUUGAAAAGAGAGUUAAAGAGUACCUGAAACUGCUGAAAGGGAACCGAAUCGUUUCCAGUGUCUAUAAUCCGUGGCAUAUUUCAUUGGCGAGCGUGUGCGUGCGUGUACUGUGGCAGUGGCUUUUUUGGCUGCGCUCGGUGUGUGUGCUGUGUGUGCUUGCUGGUGCCCUGUGCUGCGGUGGGACGUCAAGGUCAGUUCGUAUGCUGCGGGAAAUGGCUGCCGAGGAGGUAGGGCUUACGCUUGCGUUUGUCUGUUAUAUCUUGGUGGACGAGUAGUCGCGGUUGGGACUGAGGUGCCUACAACGUGCUUUUGAGUGUGUCUGUGUCUCCGUGUGCGCCGUGUGCGGAUAGCUUGCUAUGCGUGUGUGGUUGUGUGUGGAUUGAUGCGGGCUUUAACUUGUUGCCGUUCGGGACGUUGACGAAAUGGAGCGAUCCGACCCGUCUUGAAACACGGACCAAGGAGUCUAACAUGUGUGCAAGUGUUAGGGUGUGGAAACCCCAGCGCGAAAUGAAAGUGAAGGGCAGCGCAAGUUGUCUGAGGUAGGAAACGUUGUGGGCUUCGGUCUGCGGCGUGGCACUAUCGACCGAUCAUGAACCUUCGUGGUGAAAGAUUUGAGUUUGAGCACAUAUGUUGGUACCCGAAAGAUGGUGAACUAUGCCUGAGUAGGGUGAAGCCAGGGGAAACUCUGGUGGAAGCUCGUAGCGAUUCUGACGUGCAAAUCGAUCGUCAAACUUGGGUAUAGGGGCGAAAGACUAAUCGAACCAUCUAGUAGCUGGUUCCCUCCGAAAUUUCCCUCAGGAUAGCAGCAACUUAUUUACGAUAGUUUUAUGAGGUAAAGCGAAUGAUUAGAGGAUUCGGGGAAGAAACUUCCUCGACCUAUUCUCAAACUUUAAAUCUGUAAGACCUGCAGGUUUCUUAAUUGAACUUGUGGAUGUGAAUAUCAAGUUGCUAGUGGGCCAUACGGGGUAAGCUCGUCUGGCG